AAAUUUUUAAAUCUCUUUGUAAUUUAUCCUGGUGGGACCCUUUGUUUCGGCAUCGAGUGUUCCCGA